UCCAGGAUGGCCGAGUGGUUAAGGCGUUGGACUUAAGUUCCAAUGUACGAAUCUACGCGUGGGUCCAACCCCACUCCUGUUA
rnacentral:tRNA from 1 species